rnacentral:rRNA from 1 species
GGUGGGUAGUCCGCACGAGCGUACCCCUGUCUUCAGUUGCCAUCGGGUGCUGCCGGGCACUCUGGUAUCUCUGCCCAGGUCUCACGGGGUCGGCAGGUGGGGCUGCCGUCAAGUCAGCAUGGCCUUUCUGCCUGGGGCUACACACGUGCUACAAUGGCCGGUACAAAGGGUUGCAAUCCCGCAAGGGGGCGCCAAUCCCAAAAAACCGGCCUCAGUUCAGCUUGUGGUCUGCAACCCGACCACAUGAAGGUGGAAUCGCUAGUAAUCGCGGAUCAGCACGCCGCGGUGAAUACGUUCCCGGGCCUUGUACACACCGCCCGUCACACCACGAAAGUCAGCUGUACCUGACGUCGCUGGAGCUAACCCGCAAGGGAGGCAGGUGCCACGGUAUGGUUGGUGAUUGGGGUGAAGUCGUAACAAGGUAGCCGUAGGGGAACCUGCGGCUGGAUCACCUCCUUU